UGAAGAUUAAACUGUCUCUUGUAACCAACCUAUGAAACUGAUCUUGUAGUCCAAAAGCUACAAUAUAAACACCAGACGAGAAGACCCUGUGGAGCUUUUAAACCAAAACCAAAUAUAUGACCCCUUGGUUUUUAGUUGGGGCAACUUCGGAGUACAAACAAACCUCCGACAAACUACAAAUCAAGACAAACAAGUCAAAACCCACACUUGACCCAAUAGUAUAAUUUAAACUAUUUGACCAAUGAACCAAGUUACCCCAGGGAUAACAGCGCUAUCCUCUUUUAGAGUCCCUAUCGACAAGAGGGCUUACGACCUCGAUGUUGGAUCAGGACACCCCAAUAAUGCAGCCGUUAUUAAAGGUUCGUUUGUUCAACGAUUAAAGUCCUACGUGAU
rnacentral:rRNA from 1 species